rnacentral:rRNA from 1 species
GACGAACGCUGGCGGCGUGCUUAACACAUGCAAGUCGAACGAAGAGCGAUGGAAGCUUGCUUCUAUCAAUCUUAGUGGCGACCGGGUGAGUAACGCGUAAUCAACCUGCCCUUCAGAGGGGGACAACAGUUGGAAACGACUGCUAAUGCCGCAUACGAUCUGACCUCGGCAUCGAGGAUAGAUGAAAGGUGGCCUCUAUUUAUAAGCUAUCACUGAAGGAGGGGAUUGCGUCUGAUUAGCUAGUUGGAGGGGUAACGGCCCACCAAGGCGAUGAUCAGUAGACGGUCUGAGAGGAUGAACGGCCACAUUGGGACUGAGACACGGCCCAGACUCCUACGGGAGGCAGCAGUGGGGAAUCUUCCGCAAUGGACGAAAGUCUGACGGAGCAACGCCGCGUGAGUGAUGACGGCCUUCGGGUUGUAAAGCUCUGUUAAUCGGGACGAAAGGCCUUCUUGCGAAUAGUUAGAAGGAUUGACGGUACCGGAAUAGAAAGCCACGGCUAACUACGUG